GACAUAAUAUGGCGUGUAUUUUUGUAAUGCAAAGAUCCUUUUGUUAUCUAAACUGUCCUGUAGUGCUGACAAUUCCAGAAUUACAAAUUAAAAUGAUAAUGAUUUUUUCUAGAGCUUGGACACAGUGUUAUUGACCUAGUUAUAUUGGCAAACAGUUUUGAGUCCAGUAUGUUUUGGAUGUGGGGCCAUGACUAGCCACUUGAAGCACUUUAUGAUGAUAGAGCCUGCGCCACCACCACCUACUCAAAGUAUCA